UUCAUGCUGGCCGGGACGGGCGGCGGGUUGCGGCCGCGCGACGCCGUCCGCCAGGUUCCGACCCCUUGGCGUGAAU
rnacentral:tRNA from 1 species